rnacentral:tRNA from 1 species
GGUUUCAUAGUUAAAGUUUAUAACGUUAAAUUGCAAAUUUGAACUUGCUAAAUAGCUGAAGCUU